AUUGAACGCUGGCGGCAUGCCUUACACAUGCAAGUCGAACGGCAGCACGGGGGCAACCCUGGUGGCGAGUGGCGAACGGGUGAGUAAUGCAUCGGAACGUGUCCUCUUGUGGGGGAUAACCAGUCGAAAGAUUGGCUAAUACCGCAUGAGAUCGAAAGAUGAAAGCGGGGAGCCGCAAGGCCUCGCGCGAGAGGAGCGGCCGAUGCCGGAUUAGCUAGUUGGUGGGGUAAUGGCCCACCAAGGCGACGAUCCGUAGCUGGUCUGAGAGGACGACCAGCCACACUGGGGAACUGAGACACGGCCCCAGACUCCUACGGGAGGCAGCAGUGGGGAAUUUUGGACAAUGGGCGCAAGCCUGAUCCAGCCAUGCCGCGUGUGUGAAGAAGGCCUCGGGUUGUAAAGCACUUUCGGACGGAACGAAAUCGCGCGCAUGAACAAUGCGCGUGGAUGACGGUACCGUAAGAAGAAGCACCGGCUAACUACGUGCCAGCAGCCGCGGUAAUACGUAGGGUGCAAGCGUUAAUCGGAAUUACUGGGCGUAAAGGGUGCGCAGGCGGCCUCGCAUGUCAGGCGUGAAAUCCCGGCGUCACCUGGGAAUGCGCUUGAAACUACGGGGCUGGAGUGUGGCAGAGGGAGGUGGAAUUCCACGUGUAGCGGUGAAAUGCGUAGAGAUGUGGAGGAACACCGAU
rnacentral:rRNA from 1 species